rnacentral:tRNA from 1 species
AGUGUGGAGCCUGAUUUAAAAGGAUUAUCUUGAUGUGAUAAAAUUUGUAGUAAUUUACCUGCACUA